UACGUAGGGGGCAAACGUUGUCCGGAAUUAUUGGGCGUAAAGCGCGUGUAGGUGGUUUUGUAAGUCAAAUGUUAAAGCCCCGGGCUCAACCCGGGUUCGCAUUUGAUACUGCAAGACUCGAGAAAUGUAGAGGGAAGCGGAACUACCGGUGUAGCGGUGAAAUGCGUAGAUAUCGGUAGGAACACCAGUGGCGAAGGCGGCUUCCUGGACAUUUUCUGACACUGAGACGCGAGAGCUAGGGGAGCAAACGGG
rnacentral:rRNA from 1 species